AUUUCAAUACUUCACAUACCUCUAGUUAUAAUCAACCUUUCUGUGAUUAGAUAGUCUUCUUCAUCCACCAUUAGACCCAACAACAUUUAUACAGCAAACCCCCCCCCCCUGAUAUUUUGCUUUCCUCUUAUAUUCAGUUAGUAUACGCUUGGAUACUUUCCCUAAUUUCAAUUUCCUGAACGCUUUUACUGCUGUCAUCCAUAAAAAGAACAAGACAAGUACAUGCUUUAACUUAGAAUUAAACCCAAGAGAACUCUAGAAUGAUUAUUUGCUAUAAUUAUCAGUAUUAUAAAUUAGUGGGUGAUUCAGGGCAUUCUGGACUAAACAAACAAAAGAUGACGGCCAGUCCCCACUAAAACAGUAUUUAAGGAGCCUCAAAGAACUUCAGGUUCCAACCAACCUAAGACUAUUUUCCAUGAUUGUCAAACACUAUAGAAAACCAAGGAAUUCAUGUCACACAGAAAAGAAUCUACCCCAAGAUCUUGAAGUGUUUCUGUAAACUUUGAUCACUUCAAU